rnacentral:rRNA from 1 species
UCGGGAAUUUUGGGCAAUGGGCGAAAGCCUGACCCAGCAACGCCGCGCGAGGGAUGAAGUAUUUCGGUAUGUAAACCUCGAAAGAAUGGGAAGAAUAAAUGACGGUACCAUUUAUAAGCUCCGGCUAACUACGUGCCAGCAGCCGCGGUAAUACGUAGGGAGCAAGCGUUGUUCGGCUUUACUGGGCGUAAAGGGAGCGUAGGCGGCGCGGUAAGUCACUUGUGAAAUCUCUGAGCUUAACUCAGAACGGCCAAGUGAUACUGCUGUGCUAGAGUGCGGAAGAGACCACCGGGAUUCUUGGUGUAGCGGUGAAAUGCGUAGAGAUCAAGAGGAACGCCGGAGGCGAAGGCGGGUUGCUGGGCCGACACUGACGCUGAUGC